UACAGAGGUCUCAAGCGUUGUUCGGAUUCAUUGGGCGUAAAGGGUGCGUAGGUGGCGGGGUAAGUCAGGUGUGAAAUCUCGAGGCUCAACCUCGAAACUGCACUUGAUACUGCCUUGCUCGAGUACUGGAGAGGAGAUUGGAAUUUACGGUGUAGCAGUGAAAUGCGUAGAUAUCGUAAGGAAGACCAGUGGCGAAGGCGAAUCUCUGGACAGUUACUGACACUGAGGCACGAAGGCCAGGGGAGCAAACGGGG
rnacentral:rRNA from 1 species